AUUGCUUCUCCAUUUUGGCUCAGAUCAAAUGAAGUAUUUGUUCUAUCAGUGCAAUAUCUGAUAGGUCCUCCACCUGAGGACAACCUUUUACAUGGAUUUUUGGAGCAGGGAGGUAGAAUAAGAUCUUGCUCAGUCCAUUCUACUAUUGACUCAACAUUGCAGUACUUUUAGGAGAGUGUGCACGCU